rnacentral:rRNA from 1 species
AUGCCGCCGCCACUCACCCUCCUCCUGGCCGUCCUCCUCGCCGGCCUCCAACCCGCCUCCGCCGCGUCAUCCUCGCAAACGGACGCCCUCCUAGCCUUCAAGCGAUCCCUCACCAUCCCGCCCGCGGCCGCAGCCUUCUUCUCCACGUGGGACGCCGCCGCUGCCUCGCCUUGCAACUUCACCGGCGUCACCUGCGACUCCAGCCGCUCCGUCGUCAUCGGCGUGUCCGUACGGGAGCACGGAGUCGCUGCCGCGUCCGUCCCGUUCGGCAUCAUCUGCGGCUCGCUGACGAACCUCACCACGCUCUCUUUGCCGUCGAACGCGCUCGCCGGGGGCAUCGACAGGGUCGUCGCGUGCACGGGGCUUGAGGAGCUCACCCUCGCGUCCAAUGCCUUCUCCGGCGCCGUGCCGGACCUCUCGCCGCUGAUCCGUCUCCGCAGGCUCGACGUCUCGAAUAACAGCUUCUCGGGUGCGUUCCCCUGGGCCGCGCUGCCCGCCAUGCCAGGCCUCACCGUGCUCGCCGCGGGAGACAACCCGUUCUUCGAGCCGACCAGUUCUUUCCCCGCCGAGGUCACCGAGCUCACCAACCUCACCGUGCUCUACCUCUCUGCCGCCAACAUCGUCGGCGCCAUCCCGCGGGCUAUGGGGAGCCUAGUCAAGCUCGUGGACCUCGAGCUGGCCGACAACAACCUCACGGGCGAGAUACCCCCGGAGAUUGCCAGUCUCGUUAACCUCCGGGCCCUCGAACUGUACAACAGCUCCCUUACCGGAGCUCUCCCGCGGGGGUUCGGGAAGCUAACGAAGCUACAGUACUUCGACGCGUCACAGAACAUGCUGACCGGCGGCCUCUCCGAGCUCCGGUUCCUCACGCGGCUCGUGUCGCUUCACCUCUUCGACAACAGCUUCUCCGGCGAGGUGCCCCUCGAAAUCGGAGACUUCAAGGAGCUCGUCUACCUGUCACUCUACAACAACAGCCUCACAGGCGAGCUGCCGCAGAGCCUCGGGACUUGGUCGGAGCUGACCUACAACAACAGCUCUCUUAGAGGAGCACGAACUCACUGA